rnacentral:rRNA from 1 species
CCUACGGGUGGCAGCAGUAGGGAAUCUUCCACAAUGGGCGAAAGCCUGAUGGAGCAACGCCGCGUGGGUGAAGAAGGUCUUCGGAUCGUAAAACCCUGUUGUUAGAGAAGAAAGUGCGUGAGAGUAACUGUUCACGUUUCGACGGUAUCUAACCAGAAAGCCACGGCUAACUACGUGCCAGCAGCCGCGGUAAUACGUAGGUGGCAAGCGUUAUCCGGAUUUAUUGGGAGUAAAGGGAACGCAGGCGGUCUUUUAAGUCUGAUGUGAAAGCGUUCGGCUUAACCGGAGUAGUGCAUUGGAAACUGGGAGACUUGAGUGCAGAUGAGGAGAGUGGAACUCCAUGUGUAGCGGUGAAAUGCGUAGAUAUAUGGAAGAACACCAGUGGCGAAAGCGGCUUUCUAGUCUGUCACUGACGUUGAGGUUCGAAAGUGUGGGUAGCAAACAGGAUUAGAUACCCUUGUAGUC